rnacentral:rRNA from 1 species
AUUGAACGCUGGCGGCAUGCUUUACACAUGCAAGUCGAACGGUAACAGGGGCUUCGGCCCGCUGACGAGUGGCGAACGGGUGAGUAAUGUAUCGGAACGUGCCCAGUAGUGGGGGAUAACUACGCGAAAGAGUGGCUAAUACCGCAUGAGAACUGAGGUUGAAAGCGGGGGAUCUUCGGACCUCGCGCUACUGGAGCGGCUGAGAUCAGAUUAGGUAGUUGGUGAGGUAAAGGCUUACCAAGCCUGCGAUCUGUAGCUGGUCUGAGAGGACGACCAGCCACACUGGGACUGAGACACGGCCCAGACUCCUACGGGAGGCAGCAGUGGGGAAUUUUGGACAAUGGGCGCAAGCCUGAUCCAGCAAUGCCGCGUGCAGGACGAAGGCCUUCGGGUUGUAAACUGCUUUUGUACAGAACGAAAUGUCUCUGGCUAAUACCUGGGGAAGAUGACGGUACUGUAAGAAUAAGCACCGGCUAACUACGUGCCAGCCGCCGCCGUAA